GUGGGGAAUAUUGGGCAAUGGGCGCAAGCCUGACCCAGCAACGCCGCGUGAGGGAAGAAGGCUUUCGGGUUGUAAACCUCUGUCCUUGGUGACGAAACAAAUGACGGUAGCCAAGGAGGAAGCCCCGGCUAACUACGUGCCAGCAGCCGCGGUAAUACGUAGGGGGCGAGCGUUGUCCGGAAUUACUGGGCGUAAAGGGUGCGUAGGUGGCCUUUUAAGUUGGAUGUGAAAUACCCGGGCUUAACUUGGGGGGUGCAUCCAAAACUGGGAGGCUAGAGUGCAGGAGAGGAAAGCGGAAUUCCUAGUGUAGCGGUGAAAUGCGUAGAGAUCGGGAGGAACACCAGUGGCGAAGGCGACUUACUGGACUGUAACUGACGCUGAGGCGCGAAAGUGUGGGGAGCAAACAGGAUUAGAAACCCUGGUAGUCC
rnacentral:rRNA from 1 species